rnacentral:lncRNA from 1 species
GGCUGAAAAAUUUUGCAAAACUUUUUGGGAACUAAAGAAGGCCUUAAAAUAUCAACCACAAGAUCUGUCCGUCAAGUCUUCCUUAUCAGGCGUUUAGAGGGGUAGAACGUACAUGCACGAGUUCAUCAUGCGAGGUUGUGUGUCCCGGAUUUUCGAAAACAUGUUAGAAAUUGGAAUACCCCUUCAUCCCAAAACAAUUGCCAUUAUAGAAUUCAAAUUUUAUUCCAAAAUAUUUGAAUUUAUUUCUUGCCUUUCAAUUAUAGAUUUCCAGAC